CGCGUAGGUGGCCUGUCAAGUCGGAUGUGAAAACUCUGGGCUUAACCCAGAGCCUGCAUUCGAUACUGACGGGCUAGAGUUCUGGAGGGGAAAGCGGAAUUCCUGGUGUAGCGGUGAAAUGCGUAGAUAUCAGGAGGAACACCGGUGGCGAAGGCGGCUUUCUGGACAGAAACUGACACUGAGGCGCGAAAGCUAGGGGAGCAAACA
rnacentral:rRNA from 1 species